ensembl:lncRNA
GCACUGGGGAUGGGGCCAGCUCGAGAGCUCUCGCCAGUUAUGGCCAGCGCAGGUGGUGGGAGGAUUCACAGGAGUCCCAGGUGGCUGGCGUGUUAGCUCACAUGGCAGGCAGGGCGUGACCCUCCUGCUUGGUGGGGCAGAGAGAGGCGGUUAAGAAUUUUUUGAUGCUGGCAGGAGUAGCAACCUGAGCUGAGACAUCUUUUCUUGCCAACUCAUUAAGGAUCGGGCUGGAGCCGCAGGAAACCUGCAAACUCAGCCCACUUAGCAGGAGAGAGGCCCUGAGGCGUGUCCUCACCUGCUGGACCUGCGUGUGGAGAUCAGAGGUGUAAGCAGAUGCUCUGGAUGUGAAGACACCCAGGCAGUGAUAGAAGCAUAUCCUUCACAGCAGAGUACAUCAUGAGAAACGCUGGGCUGGAGGAAGCACAAGCUGGAAUCAAGAUUGCCAGGAGAAAUAUCAAUAACCUCAGAUAUGCAGAUGACACC